GGAGGUCAGGGAGAUCUGGCUCCAGCAUCGUUCACCCCACUGGUCUUGGGGAAUGACUUUCUUGUUCUAGCUGGCUAGCCAGGGUUCCCUGCCUACGUCAUCACUCUAUUUUCAAACCUCCAGAAUCUGGGUGCUUGGUCAAAGAGGACAAUCUUCCCAGAGACAGGAGGAUCACUUGCUCAGGUCGUAGGACUAGCUGUGCUCCCCUGCUACAAACACCGAACAAGCUCUCAAGGAUAUAGUUUCUAAUUUAGUAAUUGUGGAGAGCAUGGCUUUCACACAGAUAACUGAAAGCUACUUUUCUGUAAUGAUUU
rnacentral:snRNA from 1 species